ACGGGAGUGGCAAGCGUUAUCCGGAAUUAUUGGGCGUAAAGCGUCCGCAGGCGGUCUGUCAAGUCUGCUGUUAAAGCGUGGAGCUUAACUCCAUUUCGGCAGUGGAAACUGACAGACUAGAGUGUGGUAGGGGCAGAGGGAAUUCCCGGUGUAGCGGUGAAAUGCGUAGAUAUCGGGAAGAACACCAGUGGCGAAGGCGCUCUGCUGGGCCAUAACUGACGCUCAUGGACGAAAGCCAGGGGAGCGAAAGGG
rnacentral:rRNA from 1 species